GAUCCUGGCUCAGGAUGAACGCUAGCGACAGGCUUAACACAUGCAAGUCGAGGGGCAGCACGGGAGUAGCAAUACAACUGGUGGCGACCGGCGCACGGGUGAGUAACGCGUAUGCAACCUACCUAUCAGAGGGGAAUAACCCGGCGAAAGUCGGACUAAUACCGCAUAAAACAGGGGCACCGCAUGGUGAUAUUUGUUAAAGAAAUUCGCUGAUAGAUGGGCAUGCGUUCCAUUAGGUAGUUGGUGAGGUAACGGCUCACCAAGCCGACGAUGGAUAGGGGAACUGAGAGGUUGGUCCCCCACACUGGUACUGAGACACGGACCAGACUCCUACGGGAGGCAGCAGUGAGGAAUAUUGGUCAAUGGGCGAGAGCCUGAACCAGCCAAGUCGCGUGAAGGAGGAAGGAUCUAUGGUUCGUAAACUUCUUUUGCAGGGGAAUAAAGUGCAGGACGUGUCCUGUUUUGUAUGUACCCUGAGAAUAAGGAUCGGCUAACUCCGUGCCAGCAGCCGC
rnacentral:rRNA from 1 species